GCCUUAACAUGCAGUCGAACGGUAGAGCAGCAAUGCUUGAGAGUGGCGAACGGGUGAGUAAUAUAUCGGAACGUGCCCAGUCGUGGGGGAUAACGUAAAGAAAUUUACGCUAAUACCGCAUACGAUCUAAGGAUGAAAGCGGGGGACUCGCAAGAGCCUCGCGCGAUUGGAGCGGCUGAUAUCAAAUUAGGUUGUUGGUGAGGUAAAAGCUCACCAAGCCGACGAUCUGUAGCUGGUUUGAGAGAACGACCAGCCACACUGGGACUGAGACACGGCCCAAACUCCUACGGGAGGCAGCAGUGGGGAAUUUUGGACAAUGGGCGAAAGCCUGAUCCAGCAAUGCCGCGUGUGGGAAGAAGGCCUUCGGGUUGUAAACCACUUUUGUACGGAACGAAACGGCCUGCCCUAAUACGGUGGGCUAAUGACGGUACCGUAAGAAUAAGCACCGGCUAACUACGUGCCAGCAGCCGCGGUAAUACGUAGGGUGCGAGCGUUAAUCGGAAUUACUGGGCGUAAAGCGUGCGCAGGCGGUUAUAUAAGACAGUUGUGAAAUCCCCGGGCUCAACCUGGGAAUUGCAUCUGUGACUGUAUAGCUAGAGUACGGUAGAGGGGGAUGGAAUUCCGCGUGUAGCAGUGAAAUGCGUAGAUAUGCGGAGGAAC
rnacentral:rRNA from 1 species